AUGAGUAGCCGCCUCCUCCCACGCUCACGCUCGCCGGCGGCAGCCCCACCGCUGGAGGACGACAACCUCCUCUUCGAGAUCCUCCUCCGCCUCCCCCCGGAGCCGUCCUCCCUCCCUCGCGCCUCCGUCGUCUCCAAGUGUUGGCACCACCUCAUAUCUGACCCGGGCUUCUCCCGCUGCUUCCGCCUCCACCACCGCCACAAGCCUCCUCUCCUUGGAUUCUUUGAGGAAUUAUGUUUUAAAUCUACAAUGGAUCGUCCCAAUCGUAUUCCGGAUGGCCGCUUCUGCUUGCAAGUCGACAACCACUUCUUACUCGGAUGCCACCAUGGCCUUGUACUCAUCUUCCAGUUGAGGCCACUCAAGGUGCUGGUGUGGGACCCUGUCACUGGCGAACUGCACCAGAUUGCUGCUCCCCCGGGAUUCGAUCCUAUGGAGACCCCGACUAAUGGGGCGGUGCUUCGUGCUACCGGAGACAUCCAACACUUCCAGGUGGUCUUGGUAUGCACAGAGACAAACAACCAACAACAUACACGAGCGAUCGCCCGUGUUUACUCAUCGGAGACUGGCGGGUGGGGCGAUCUAAUCUCAACACUGAUUCCACCUAAGGCAUCUCCGGGUUCAAAUCGACCUCCCUGCAUUGUUUUCACGGAACCUCCUGGUGUCCAAGUGGGACAUUCCCUUUACUGGUUGCUUUUUGAAAGUCUGGCUGGCAUCCUCGAGUUUGAUUUGGAUAGACAGAGCUUAAGUGUGAUACAUGUGCCAGUGGACAUCGACAAUUACCACUGCACGGUUAUGCGGGCGGAGGGUGGAGGCCUUGGUUUCAUUUAUCUUUCAGGCUUGAGCGCCCAAUUAUGGAGGAGAAAAACCAAUUGUGAUGGUGUUGCUUCAUGGGUUCUGGGAAAAACUAUUGAACUGGACAAGUUAUUUUCCAUGAAUUCAAAGGAUAUAGGGUAUCCGAUGGUACAAGGAUUUGCUGAGGACAAUAAUGUGGUGUUCCUGUUGACAGAUAUGGGUCUGUUCACGAUCCAGCUUGAGUCAUUGCAGUUCAAGAAAUUUUGUGAAAUUGACUACUUGUCUCGCUAUUAUCCACUCGAAACUGUCUUUGCUGCAGGUAAUAGCAUGCCCUUACACUCUGGGUAUAACAAAGCACAUAUAUCUUUUGUUAAUUGGUUGUCGCAAUGCUGUUCAAAUCUUUCUGUGUGA
rnacentral:rRNA from 1 species